AUGAACUUCCACGACGUCCACACGCUCCAGCAGGCGCUGGACGUCGCCCCGCCGCCUCGUCUUCGCACGGCACAAGACCGUGCGGAGCACGCUGAGUGGCAGCGCCGCCUCCUCGUCGCCCAUGAGGACGAGCGGGUCAUGGCGGAGUGGCGCCAGUGCCACCCGGAGGACGUCACCUACGAGCAAGCCUACCGGGCAAGGCGCCGCGAGGAGGAGACGCAAAGGCGCCACGAUGAGCGGUUGGACAGGCGUCGGCGGAAGGCCCUAUCGUUGGGACAACAUGUGGCUCGAUACCUCGGACCAGACCAGCGAGGAUGGCGAUGA
rnacentral:rRNA from 1 species